rnacentral:pre_miRNA from 1 species
CAUGUAUUCCCUCCGUCCGAAAAAGCUUGUCCAUCAAAUGGAUGUAUCUAGCACCAAGUUAGUGCUAGAUACAUCCAUUUGAGGAACAAGCUUGGGACAAGCUUUUUCGGACGGAGGGAGUAUGUA